AGCGAACGCUGGCCGCAGGCUUAACACAUGCAAGUCGAGCGGGCACUUUCGGGUGUCAGCGGCGGACGGGUGAGUAACGCGUGGGAACGUGCCCUCUGGUUCGGAAUAACUCAGGGAAACUUGAGCUAAUACCGGAUACGCCCUUUUGGGCAAAGGCUUGCUGCCGGAGGAUCGGCCCGCGUCUGAUUAGCUAGUUGGUGAGGUAACGGCUCACCAAGGCGACGAUCAGUAGCUGGUCUGAGAGGAUGAUCAGCCACACUGGGACUGAGACACGGCCCAGACUCCUACGGGAGGCAGCAGUGGGGAAUAUUGGACAAUGGGCGCAAGCCUGAUCCAGCCAUGCCGCGUGAGUGAUGAAGGCCUUAGGGUUGUAAAGCUCUUUUAUCCGGGACGAUAAUGACGGUACCGGAGGAAUAAGCCCCGGCUAACUUCGUG
rnacentral:rRNA from 1 species